UACUAGCUUUGUGGCUUCCUGCCUCCACCA
rnacentral:piRNA from 1 species